rnacentral:rRNA from 1 species
UACGGGGGGAGCAAGCGUUGUUCGGAUUUACUGGGCGUAAAGGGCGCGUAGGCGGCCACCGCAAGUCGACUGUGAAAUCUCCGGGCUUAACCCGGAAAGGUCAGCCGAUACUGCGGGGCUAGAGUGCAGAAGGGGCAACUGGAAUUCUCGGUGUAGCGGUGAAAUGCGUAGAUAUCGAGAGGAACACCUGCGGCGAAGGCGGGUUGCUGGGCUGACACGUGACGCUGAGGCGCGAAAGCGUGGGGAGCGAACCGG